CACCGCCCCUUCAGCCUGUGGGGGCGCCGCGGGGGAGCGGCCCCCGCAGGGUCACUCGUGUGCCACACAUUUCCUGUCGCUCACUGACGGCCAGGGAUCGAACUCGGGUCCUUGUGCUUUCGAGGCAGGCACCGGAACCGCUGAGCUAAAUCCCCAGCCCUGCUGCUCCUGAUUCUACAGCGACCCAUGGACCUUGUGCUCUCAAGGCAGAUGUGGCACCAGUGAGCUGAAUCCCCAGCCCAUGAGGCUGUUUUGAUGGGCAACAACAAAAAGGGACGCCCUGACCACAGAGUAUAACCCGGCCCAGGGUCCACAGUGCUGGUGUGGAUGAGCCCUGCUCUAGGAGUAUGGAGGAAAGGACAAGGCAGCAAAAGAGAAGAAAGGAUUCAGGAACACCAGAGGAAGAAGUAAAAGAUUUAAAGCACUUGACAGAGACAUUUUAAUUAAAUUCGUCUUGGAAAAGAAAAAUCCCAAAGACUUAGUAUAAAUUUUUUCAUUUGACUAACAGUCUAUAUAAAUACAUAUUAGAAAAAGAUUUAAAAAUUAAAAUGACAGUCUUAUCCUGUCACUUGCUUCCUCCUAAUGUUCUGGGAUAAAAUACUGUUUUAUUCUAGUGUUUCUUUUGAUCCAGAAUGACUUAAUUGUUACUUCAAAGAUAAUUACAAGCUAUUUCAUGCUUCCCUUUUUGUAAUGCCUUUAACAGAUGCUUCUACAUACUAGUAUUUCUACAUACCUUCUAUUUAUGGUGAGAAGGAAGUAUUUAUUGUUUGAUAUAUUUUAUUUAGUUCUUCAGCUAUUAGCAACUGGACUAUCUCCAGUUUUUCACAAUCAUGAACAACCCACGCAUAGCCUGUAACAAAGACUGUCCACUUGAAUCAACACUUUUGCUAACAUGGCCGUUCUGUGGUCUUUGGUAACUGGUUUUUAACCAGUGCCCUUCAGCUCCUGGUACAAAAUACUCUUUCAAUUUAAGCCAAGUAGUAACCCAUAAAAGACAUACCAUGGACCUGCCAAACAGAUCACUGUUAAUCCAGGAAGAUAAAACUAGGUUGCUGUUGGACCUCUACGACCAGUUGCUUGUGACUCCAGGCAUAGCUACUUUAUUUCAAAGGCUGAAAACUACUUGCCAUUCUUGGGGGGUCACAUAAAACUAGGAUAUAGUCUGGUACUAUAUGUUAGGUGCUCAAAUAGAUAUUGGUGGAAGGAGCUAGUUUCAUUAUGGAUAGAUAUAAAUUAUGAAAUUCAGUUUUGUACAAU